rnacentral:rRNA from 1 species
AAAUCCGGUACUCGUUAAGGCUGAGCUGUGAUGGGGAGAAGACAUUGUGUCUUCGAGUCGUUGAUUUCACACUGCCGAGAAAAGCCUCUAGAUAGAAAAUAGGUGCCCGUACCGCAAACCGACACAGGUAGUCAAGAUGAGAAUUCUAAGGUGAGCGAGCGAACUCUCGUUAAGGAACUCGGCAAAAUGACCCCGUAACUUCGGGAGAAGGGGUGCUCUUUAGGGUUAACGCCCAGAAGAGCCGCAGUGAAUAGGCCCAAGCGACUGUUUAUCAAAAACACAGGUCUCUGCUAAACCGUAAGGUGAUGUAUAGGGGCUGACGCCUGCCCGGUGCUGGAAGGUUAAGAGGAGUGGUUAGCUUCUGCGAAGCUACGAAUCGAAGCCCCAGUAAACGGCGGCCGUAACUAUAACGGUCCUAAGGUAGCGAAAUUCCUUGUCGGGUAAGUUCCGACCCGCACGAAAGGCGUAACGAUUUGGGCACUGUCUCAACGAGAGACUCGGUGAAAUCAUAGUACCUGUGAAGAUGCAGGUUACCCGCGACAGGACGGAAAGACCCCGUGGAGCUUUACUGUAGCCUGAUAUUGAAAUUCGGCACAGCUUGUACAGGAUAGGUAGGAGCCUUUGAAACGUGAGCGCUAGCUUACGUGGAGGCGCUGGUGGGAUACUACCCUAGCUGUGUUGGCUUUCUAACCCGCACCACUUAUCGUGGUGGGAGACAGUGUCAGGCGGGCAGUUUGACUGGGGCGGUCGCCUCCUAAAAGGUAACGGAGGCGCUCAAAGGUUCCCUCAGAAUGGUUGGAAAUCAUUCAUAGAGUGUAAAGGCAUAAGGGAGCUUGACUGCGAGACCUACAAGUCGAGCAGGGUCGAAAGACGGACUUAGUGAUCCGGUGGUUCCGCAUGGAAGGGCCAUCGCUCAACGGAUAAAAGCUACCCCGGGGAUAACAGGCUUAUCUCCCCCAAGAGUUCACAUCGACGGGGAGGUUUGGCACCUCGAUGUCGGCUCAUCGCAUCCUGGGGCUGUAGUCGGUCCCAAGGGUUGGGCUGUUCGCCCAUUAAAGCGGUACGCGAGCUGGGUUCAGAACGUCGUGAGACAGUUCGGUCCCUAUCCGUCGUGGGCGUAGGAAAUUUGAGAGGAGCUGUCCUUAGUACGAGAGGACCGGGAUGGACAUACCUCUGGUGUACCAGUUGUCGUGCCAACGGCAUAGCUGGGUAGCUAUGUGUGGACGGGAUAAGUGCUGAAAGCAUCUAAGCAUGAAGCCCCCCUCAAGAUGAGAUUUCCCAACUUCGGUUAUA